CCUACGGGUGGCAGCAGUGAGGAAUAUUGGUCAAUGGACGCAAGUCUGAACCAGCCAUGCCGCGUGCAGGAAGACGGCUCUAUGAGUUGUAAACUGCUUUUGUCAGGGAGCAAAGGGCGCCACGUGUGGCGUUUUGCGAGUACCUGAAGAAAAAGCAUCGGCUAACUCCGUGCCAGCAGCCGCGGUAAUACGGAGGAUGCGAGCGUUAUCCGGAUUUAUUGGGUUUAAAGGGUGCGCAGGCGGAAUGUCAAGUCAGCGGUAAAAUUUCGGGGCUCAACCCCGUCGUGCCGUUGAAACUGGCAGUCUUGAGUACAGUAGAGGUGGGCGGAAUUCGUGGUGUAGCGGUGAAAUGCUUAGAUAUCACGAAGAACUCCGAUUGCGAAGGCAGUUCACUGGACUGCAACUGACACUGAGGCUCGAAAGUGUGGGUAUCAAACAGGAUUAGAUACCCCAGUAGUC
rnacentral:rRNA from 1 species